AGCGGGGCGUGUUGGGCUUUAUUUAAAGUCAACUUCCUCAAGACAAGGAGAGUGGGGUGGGAGAUGGAACUUCCUCUGUGGUUCACCCCAGGACCUCACUCUGGCCUAGGAAUGCCCCUUCCUCAGGAUCAGCCCCCAGGACCAGGCCUCCAGAGUCCCCACCCCCUACAGUGAGUUCAAUGGAGACCCCUGGGACAAAGAAGAGAAAGAAGAACCAGAAGACUGCAAUGAAGACGAUUUAGAAAGGGAAAUUAGGGCAUGGUCACCUUGGCAUGCCCCUCCCAACUAUGGGCCAGAAAACACAGGAAAUGACGGCAGAGCACGUAAGCUCUUAGAGAGGAACCUCCCACAGUCAGCGUCCAGCCUAGACAGAGGCCAAAAUUUCUGGGGCUGUGAUCAGGCAGGGAACUACUAUAUAUAUUGAUUGCCAACCAUGAACAGGUUGGGUGAUCCACAUUUGACCCUCAAACAACCAAGCAGAGUUGGCACCUUUACCAGUUUCAUCUUGUAGAAGGAAAACCUGAGGCUCACAGGGGUUAAGGGGUCCCCCAAAUCUUAAUCCAGAGCCCUUUGCCUGCCUGGAAUGAGGGCUGAUAUGGUUUGGUUCUGUGUCCCCACCCAAAUCUCACCUUGAAUUGUAAUCACUAGUUGUCAAGGAAGGGACUUGUAAUCCCCACGUGUUGAGGGAGGGAGGUGAUUGGAUCAUGGGGGCAGUUUCCUCCAUGCUGUUCUCAUGAUAGUGAGUUCUCAUGAGAUCUGAUGGUUUUUAUAAGUCACUUUUCCCUGCUCUUGCACGCUCUCUCUUGCCUGCUGCUAUGUAAGACAUGUCUGCUUCCCCUUCUGCCAUGAUUGUAAGUGUCCUGAGGCCUCCCCAGCCAUGUGGAAAUAUGAGUCAAUUAAACCUCUUUCCUUUAUAAAUUACCCAGUCUCAGGUAUUUCUUCAUAGCAGUGCAAAAGCGGACUAAUACAGGGGCCAAAAGUGCACAAGAUCUAUGUCAUCCUGAUUGGUAAUACUGAGGUCACUCCAAUUGGUAGCCCUGUCCCAUAACCUCUAAGUAAGGCAGAGUCAUUGCUGACUAUUCUGAGAGGCUGUUCCUUUCUCCUCUGGGUUCCCUUUCCAACUAGUUCCUUCCCUCCCAGCUCCAGUGUUAUUUUUCUUUUGUGAUUGUUUUUCUGAAAAUGAUGUUGUAGACACCUCCUUGUCCCAGCCACAAUCCUUACUAUAUUCAAUUAUCCUGGUUUCUUAGGCUCUUUAAAGCUACUUUAUUGCUCUCUCCUUGCUGUGACCCUAAUCUUUGUUUUUCCUCUAGCUUUCUCCAGGGUUAUUGCUUGUCAAGACAAAGGUCACCACAGACUCAAAAGAAACAGGGAAAUAAACAAUAGAAGGCUGGCUUCUGGCUGUCAAGUUUGUUUUCACCAACAUUAAAUUGAUAGAUGAAUAUGGAGGUGCCCCGCCACUUAUCCUAUCUCUUCUCAAGCUACAUCUUGCCAGACCCUAGUCUCAGAAAUAACAGUCUACUAACAUAACAUGAUAUAACAUUUUCCCAGUGUACUUUCAUACACAUGAACUUCUUAAUUAAUUCUGAAAAUUGUUCUGUAGUGUAGGUAGAGUAGGUAGUAUUGUUCCCAUUUUACAGGUAAAGAAACAGAGGAGAUAGAAAGCUGAACUUCUAACUCUAGACAAGAUAGAGUAGCCCCAUUUCUCCUGAGUCCACCAUCUUACAACUAAAAAAAAAAAAAUCUCUGGACAUGACACAACAAAGAAGCAUAAGAGUUCCCUUCUCUCUUACCCUGUUACCAGCAGGGGCCAGUGGAGAGCUGAGCUUCUGCCCCACUCUGCCACAACAAAACAGUGGGAGCCAGUUCUCUGGUUCUCCCAUCUCUGGGUCAGCAGAGCCUAGCAGGGUAGCUUGGAUACAAUAAGACAGUGCAAGCCGAUGAUGCAUUUUCAAUGGGAAGGUAUCAUCAAGGCAGAGAUGGGAGUUCACUGCCAACCACCCAUUUGCAAUGAAGCAGGGUAAAUCAGUGCUACACUUUUGUCACGAUAGCACUGGUGGGGCCCAGUGGGAGGUUGAAUAUACAACUCAUCCAACCUGAUAUGGUUUGGAUUUGUGUCCCCACCCAAAUCUCACGUUGAAUUGUAAUCUCCAGUGUUGGAGGUGGGGCCUGGUGAGAGGUGCUGGGAUCAUGGGGGUGGUUUGCCAUGAAUGGUUAACACCAUCCCCCUUGGAGUUCUCGUUGCAAUAGUGAGUUCUCGUGAAAUUGGGUUGUUUGAAAAUAUGUGGCACCUCCACCCCUCUCAUUGCCUCCUGCUCUGGCCAUGUGAGACAUCUCACUCCCUGUUUGCCUUCCACCAUUACUGGAAGCUUCCUGAGUCCUCCCCAUAAGCAGAAGCUGCUAUGCUUCCUGUACAGCCUAUAGAACUGUGAACCAAUUAAACAUCUUUUCUUUAUAGAUUACCCAGUCUCAGGUAUUUUUUUUAUAGCAGUGCAAGAACAGACUAAUACACAACCGUUACGCUACAUCUUAACAGGAAGACAGUCUGCCAAAAAAGAAAAGUUGAAUAGGAUCCAGACUCUCAUAAUAUAAUACCUAAAAUGUCCAGGAUAGAGCAGACAAUCAUUUAUCAUGUCAAGGAAAAGGAAAAUUACAACUUGAAUGAAAAAACAAACAGGCACCAAAAUGCAAAUGAAUCAGAGGGAUUAUCACAAAUUUAAAAGCAGUCAUUACAAAAAUGCUUCAAAUGUAGUUAUGAAUUCUCUUGAAACAAACGAAAAAUAGAAAAUUUCAAUAAAAAUCAAGGUUAUAAAAAAGAACCAAAUGGAAUUAAGGAACUGAAAAACACAAUAACCAGGAAAAAGAUAAAUAAAACACGUCACUAGAUGGGCUUGAUAGUAGAGUAGAGAUGACAGAGAUUGAACCUGUGAAGUCAAGAACAGACCAAUAGCAUUCACUCAGUCAGAAUAAUAGAGAGAAAAUAGGCCGGGCGCGGUGGCUCACGCCUGUAAUCCCAGCACUUUCGGAGGCCGAGGCAGGCAGAUCACGAGGUCAGGAGAUUGAGACGAUCCUGGCUAACACAGUGAAAUCCCACCUCUACUAAAAAUACAAAAAAUUUAGCCGGGCGUGGUGGCGGGCGCCUGUAGUCCCAGCUACUCGGGAGGCUGAGGCAGGAGAAUGGCAUGAACCCGGAAGACGGAGCUUGCAGUGAGCCGAGAUCACGCCGCUGCAGUCCAACCUGGGCGACAGAGCGAGACUCCGUCUCAAAAAAAAAAAAAAAUAGACGGAAGAAAUAACAGUCCCAGGGACCUGUGAGACAAUAAGAAAAGAGCUAACAGCCAUACCUUCUGAGUCCCAAAGGAGAAGAGAGUGAGACUAAAAGUAUUCAAAGAAGUAGUGGUUAAAAACUUCUCAAAUUUGGAGAAAGACAUAAACCUACAGAUUCAAGAAGUUUAGUGGAUUCCAAGCAGGCUAGAUGUAAAGAAAUCCACAUCAUAAUUAAAUAGUUAAACUAAAGACAAAAACAUAUUGAAAGCAGUCAGAAAGAAAUAACACAUUUAUGACAUGGGAAAAAUUAAUUGCAAUGAUAGUGGAUUUCCCAUCUGAAAUGAUGGAGGCCAGAGGAAGUGGCUCAGCAUCUUUCAAGUACUGAGAAAAAGAACUGUCAACUGUGAAUACUGUAUCUGGUGAAAACAUCCUUCAGAAAUGAAGGAGAAAGCAAAACAUUCUUGGAUGAAGAAAAACUAAGAGCAUUUAUUGUUGGCAAAUGUAUCUUUAAAGAUUGGGUAAAGAAUGUUAUCUGAACAGAAGCUUUUAUUUAAAAAUUAUACCUUCUAUUUCUGGACUGAGAUUUUUCCACUUUUCUCAUUGGUUUCAAGAAUGCUUGGAGCUCCAGAAAAGAAAAACAAACUAUGGGAAGUACAUAAAUAGAAAUAAAUACAACAGACUAUACUUCUCAUGAGUAUCUGAAAUCAUAUUUGAUGAUUGAAGCAAAAAUUGUAACAGCAUCUUAUGUGAUGUUCAAUAUAUGUAAAGAACACACUCAAGACACAUAUAUUUUUAAGUGGGGAAGCUAAAGAGAACUAAAUGGAAGUAAGGUUUCUACACUUACUCAAAGUGGCAGUGUCAACACCAGUAGCUUGUGGUAAGUUGUGUAUGUAUGUCAUAAUCUCUAUAGUGACCAAUAAUUUUACAUAAUCUCUCCCAGAAAAUAGGAGGGGAAGGAACACUUACCACCACAUUUUAUGAAGCUAAUAUUACCCUGAUACUAAAACCAGAAAAAGACAGUGAAAAAAAAAAAAAAGAAAGAAAAGUAGAUAUCAAUAUCUUUUCAGCGACUUUUGACCCAAGAUGCGUAGCCCUGGGGCUUUCUGUGCUCCUCGGCCCCUUGGUCUCCACGCAGAGGCUCCUGGGCUCACUCUCUCCUCCCAUCUCCUCUUCUAGGAAGCAUUGAUGCGGCUGUCCAGCCUGUUGGAUCAGCUGCAACCCACCCUGGUCUGUAUGGACUGAGGGGUCUCCCUGGGCUGGGCCGAGCAGGAGGAGGCUGAGCAGUGAAAACGGUGACCCCUGCCCUCACGGAGCUAACGAGAAGAGCAAAUGGCUGGCAACGGUGCAUGACACAGAAUGAGCAACGGGCUGCACACAUCGCGAUUUACGUGGCUUUGGAAAAAACGCGUCUCACAAGUUGGGGCUGUCAUACAUUGGCUUCUUGGUAAUCAAUGCGUUUCAGCAAUAUAUGGGGGUGAGUUUAGUUUCCAGUUGGCUUCCCUGAGGGUGUUGGAUAAAAUUGCAAUUUAGAUUCAAUCAAUACACAUUUAGUGAGCACCUAUUCUUUGCCUGAACGAUUGUGGGCAUUGUGGGGGAUACAAAGGGAGACAUCGUGGGUGGAGCUUACCAUGGAAACAACUGUCUCUUGCUCCAUGGUGUUUACCUUGCCUUGGAAAAUAAACAACGUAAACAUUUUUUUGUGACAACGGAGACAGGAUUGAGAGACUUGCACAGACUUCCUUUCCCAAAACUUCUGCAGACUAAAAUUCUACCAUUAGCUAUUAAUUUCUUUGACUAAAUUUUGUCCUCACUCUGCAGUUUCUUUUUUCUAAAGUAAAAAUACUUCUAGAAAGAGAACACGACGUCCUUAACCUCUUAAAACAGAAAUGACAUAUAAAUCGACUUGCACACCAAUUUGGGCCCUUGGAUAUUUGUUGCCUGAAGAGCUGUGUUGAAAAGGCCUCUGAGGCUCAAUCUGGCCUCUGAUGCAAAGAAUGUCGAUCGAUUGCUGAUGUCUGCCCUGAGUGCUGGAAGGGAGGAUGGCAUUUACUAUCCCUGCCUUAAAUUAGAGGAGCUUAUGGGGUUCUUCCCCAACUAUAACAAGAGGGGUUAAAUGAACACUAAUCAUCUGAUAGGACAGCCACUGAAGGAGGUGAGGGGAAUUUAAGAAGGAAAGGCUGUGACUGCCAAUCUCCUAAUGUCACCUGCAUGGCCGUCAGUCACCUGCAGCCCUUGUCAGUGCACCCAAAGCCUUUGCAGAUGUCAACCCAGCUGGCUUUCCAGCCAUGUCUCACCAUACCCCAGUGCUCCUCUGCUCCAGCCCCACUGAACUCUGCCAGACCUGGACGUGCCCUUAUACAUGUGCUUCCUAGACAUCCCAGAACAUCUGUGCCCAUUGUCUCUGCACAGGGAAUUCUUAUGUAACUCCAUGAACACCUACCCUAAGUGUCACUUCCUGUGAGAAGUCCUCCCUGAUUCACUCCCUCCUCUGUUUACCCACCCACUGGAGACCCAGCUCUGCAUGGCAGUCUUCACACUCUAUCAUCUUUGUCCUUCCUUCUUUUUUUUUUGAGUCAAGCUUUCACUCUGUCGCUCAGGCUGGAGUGUAGAUCACAGCUCGCUGCAGCCUCCAACUCAGCUAAAGCGAUCCUUCCUCCUCAGCCUCCAGAGCAGCUGGGACUACAGGUGCAUGCCACCAUGCCCAGGUAAUUUUUUUCUUUUUUGUAGAGACAGGGUCUUGCAAUGUUGCCCAGGCUGGCCUCGAACUCCUGGCCUCAAGCACCUCCCACUUCGGCCUCCCAAAGUGCUGGGAUUAUAGGCAUGAGCCACUGUGUCCAGCCCAUCCUUGUCCUUUCACAUGUGUCACCUUUCUCGUGAGACUAAGAGGUCUGUGGGAGCAGGGUUAGUGCCUGGUCUCUGUGAUCCAGUCCCCAGCCCCAGGCCUGACACACAGCUGGUGCUCAACAACCACUGGCUGAAUAUUGGAAUGAAUAAAUGAACGAACUUUGUCAGUGUGGCAGAUGCUAUGCCUAUGCUGAGACUGCUGUUUUUUCACAUGCCCCUGCUUCUCCUGUGUUCCUGCAGUAGCACACUGCCGGUGGUAAAUGAAUCCCCAAGUAUGAAUGCUUCACAGAACAAAGUUUAAUUUCCCCUCCCACAAAGUCCAGUGCAGAUUGUGCAGCCCUCCGGAACACUUGUCUUGGUAUUAACCACAUCUUUUAUUUCCUGCAUUCCAAUGCUCUGACAUCUGGGGCCUCGCUGACCCCCUAGAGUUAGCCAAUUUCUAGAGAUACAAGUUGCCAUGACAGCACUUUUCAGAUGCAAACAACCCACCCAAACCAAACAAAGCCUUCUUUUCCCUCCACCUCCUAACUGACCUUGGUGCUUCCCCGUGUGGCUCUGUGUGGCGUGGCAGGCGGUGUCCCCUCCUCCUGGGAACUGCUUCCACUGAGUGACUCAGCGAUCCAGUCUGCUUUCAUAGGUGGCUCUAAUGAGGCAGAAAUUUAAAAAUAAAUAUGCAUUCAUUCACUCCAAGAAAAGUAACAGGCAAGGGUUCACAAGAAAAAAAGAAGUUUUCCUCUGCCUAGCAAGCACACUUCAAGGACAGUUAUAAGAUAAUGCUGUACGAGCAGCCAAGGCCAAAGGAAUGGGCUUCAGACACCCCUCUCCCCCAGAGCAAUGUUGAAGGAAAAAAAAAGAGAAAAAGAUAAAUUACUUUACUGUUACUCCUUUCCCAGGCUUCUUAAACGUGAUUAUGUUUUACAAAUGUCUGUAUUUAGCCAGUUCUUGUUUUUCUUUUGACGCAGCUACAAGGCCACAAAUUAUACACUAUAUGAUUAACUGCUUUUGUUUUACUUUUGUAAGUCUGCUUAUAAAAACCCCACUCAGUCGUUGUUCAAUGCUCAGCUUUUUGGAUGCGAAUCCACUGAGCCAGUGCGUACCUAAAAUAAACAAUCCUCCCGUUCUCCGUAUCGGUCUC
rnacentral:lncRNA from 10 species